CGGCGAGUGAAGCGGCAACAGCUCAAAUUUGAAAUCUGGCCCUUGGGUCCGAAUUGUAAUUUGUAGAGGAUGAUUUUGGUGCGGUAUCUUCCGAGUUCCUUGGAACAGGACGCCUUAGAGGGUGAGAGCCCCGUACGGUUGAAUGCCUAGCCUCUGUAAAUCUCCUUCGACGAGUCGAGUAGUUUGGGAAUGCUGCUCUAAAUGGGAGGUAAAUUUCUUCUAAAGCUAAAUAUUGGCCAGAGACCGAUAGCGCACAAGUAGAGUGAUCGAAAGAUGAAAAGCACUUUGAAAAGAGGGUUAAAUAGCACGUGAAAUUGUUGAAAGGGAAGGAUUUGUGACCAGACUUUUUCUGGGCGGAUCAUCCGGGGUUCUCUCCGGUGCACUUUGCCCAGUAAAGGCCAGCAUCGGUUUUCGGCGGGGGAUAAAAGCAGUAGGAAUGUGGCUCUCUACGGGGAGUGUUAUAGCCUAUUGUAUAAUACCCUGCUGGGGACCGAGGUACGCGCUUCUGCAAGGAUGCUGGCGUAAUGGUUAUCAAUCACCCGUCUUGAAACACGGACCAAGGAGUCGAACAUUUGUGCGAGUGUUUGGGUGUUAAACCCUCACGCGUAAUGAAAGUGAACGGAGGUGAGAGCCCUUACGGGUGCAUCAUCGACCGAUCCUGAAGUUUUCGGAUGGAUUUGAGUAAGAGCAUAACUGUUCGGACCCGAAAGAUGGUGAACUAUGCGUGGAUAGGGUGAAGCCAGAGGAAACUCUGGUGGAGGCUCGCAGCGGUUCUGACGUGCAAAUCGAUCGUCAAAUCUGCGCAUGGGGGCGAAAGACUAAUCGAACCAUCUAGUAGCUGGUUACCGCCGAAGUUUCCCUCAGGAUAGCAGUGUUGUCUUCAGUUUUAUGAGGUAAAGCGAAUGAUUAGGGACUCGGGGGCGCUUUUUAGCCUUCAUCCAUUCUCAAACUUUAAAUAUGUAAGAAGCCCUUGUUACUUAAUUGAACGUGGGCAUUCGAAUGUACCAACACUAGUGGGCCAUUUUUGGUAAGCAGAACUGGCGAUGCGGGAUGAACCGAACGCGGGGUUAAGGUGCCGGAGUGGACGCUCAUCAGACACCACAAAAGGUGUUAGUACAUCUUGACAGCAGGACGGUGGCCAUGGAAGUCGGAAUCCGCUAAGGACUGUGUAACAACUCACCUGCCGAAUGUACUAGCCCUGAAAAUGGAUGGCGCUCAAGCGUCCCACCCAUACCUCGCCCUCAGGGUAGAAAUGAUGCCCUGA
rnacentral:rRNA from 1 species